AUUGAACGCUGGCGGCAGGCCUAAUACAUGCAAGUCGAGCGGAAACAGGAAGAAGCUUCCUUCCUUGCUUACGAGUGGCGGACGGGUGAGUAAUGUCUGUGAAACUGCCUGAUGAAUGGGGAAAACUACUGGAACCGGUAGCUAAUCCCGCAUAACUUCGGAAGCCCAAGGAUCGGGACUUUAAGGCGUCUUUCCAGCCACUUUGCCCUGAUUGGAUUAGCUAGUAGGUAGGGUAACGGCUCACCUAGGCGACGAUCCAUAGCUGGUCUGAGAGGAUGACCAGCCACACUGGAACUGAGACACGGUCCAGACUCCUACGGGAGGCAGCAGUGGGGAAUCUUGCGCAAUGGGCGAAAGCCUGAUGCAGCAACGCCGCGUGUAUGAAGAAGGUCUUCGGGUUGUAAAGUACUUUCAGCAGGGAAGAAGAGAGUAAUGAUUAUACCUUUACUCAUUGACGUUACCUGAAGAGAAAGCCACGGCUAACUCCGUG
rnacentral:rRNA from 1 species